CAUCAUGGCGGGCCGUGCAAGGCAGGCUUCGGCCUGGCCGGUUCCCUCGGUUGCCGGUUUACCACCCUUGCACGGUUCCGCCUCCAUU
rnacentral:antisense_RNA from 1 species